GAAAUUUCAGCUUCCAUUGUCUUUAUCUUGAGUUCAGAUUGCCCUCUGGGGAUGAAAAACAUCUAAGAAACCCAAAUGGUCAUUUCUGAGCUUUGGAUCUAGGCAGAAUGUCAGAAGCAACAAC
rnacentral:precursor_RNA from 15 species